CCUACGGGUGGCAGCAGUAGGGAAUCUUCGGCAAUGGGCGAAAGCCUGACCGAGCAACGCCGCGUGAAUGAAGAAGGCCUUCGGGUGGUAAAAUUCUGUUAUAAGGGAAGAAAGGUGAGAGGAGGAAAUGACUAUCAAUUGACGUUACCGGAGGAGAAAGCCACGGCUAACUACGUGCCAGCAGCCGCGGUAAUACGUAGGUGGCAAGCGUUAUCCGGAAUUAUUGGGCGUAAAGAGCGAGCAGGUGGUUAAGUAAGUCUGAGGUGAAAGCCCACGGCUUAACCGUGGAGGGUCAUUGGAAACUGGUUGCCUUGAGUGCAGCAGAGGGCAGUGGACUUCCAUGUGUAGCGGUGAAAUGCGUAGAGAUAUGGAGGACCACCAGUGGCGAAGGCGGCUUCCUGGUCUGCAACUGCCCCUGAGGCGCGACAGCGUGGGGAGCACACAGGAUUAGAUACCCCAGUAGUC
rnacentral:rRNA from 1 species